rnacentral:rRNA from 1 species
GACGAACGCUGGCGGCGUGCUUAACACAUGCAAGUCGAACGGAAAGGCCCUGCUUUUGUGGGGUGCUCGAGUGGCGAACGGGUGAGUAACACGUGAGUAACCUGCCCUUGACUUUGGGAUAACUUCAGGAAACUGGGGCUAAUACCGGAUAGGAGCUCCUGCUGCAUGGUGGGGGUUGGAAAGUUUCGGCGGUUGGGGAUGGACUCGCGGCUUAUCAGCUUGUUGGUGGGGUAGUGGCUUACCAAGGCUUUGGCGGGUAGCCGGCCUGAGAGGGUGACCGGCCACAUUGGGACUGGGAUACGGCCCAGCCUCCUACGGGAGGCAGCAGUGGGGAAUAUUGCACAAUGGGCGGAAGCCUGAUGCAGCAACGCCGCGUGCGGGAUGACGGCCUUCGGGUUGUAACCCGCUUUCGCCUGUGACGAAGCGUGAGUGACGGUAAUGGGUAAAGAAGCACCGGCUAACUACGUG